rnacentral:rRNA from 1 species
CACGUAGGGCGCAAGCGUUGUCCGGAAUUAUUGGGCGUAAAGAGCUCGUAGGCGGUCUGUUACGUCUGCUGUGAAAACCCUGGGCUUAACCCUGGGCUUGCAGUGGAUACGGGCAGACUAGAGGCAGGUAGGGGAGAAUGGAAUUCCUGGUGUAGCGGUGAAAUGCGCAGAUAUCAGGAGGAACACCGGUGGCGAAGGCGGUUCUCUGGGCAUUACCUGACGCUGAGGAGCGAAAGUGUGGGGAGCGAACAGG